rnacentral:rRNA from 1 species
GACGAACGCUGGCGGCGUGCUUAACACAUGCAAGUCGAGCGGAAAGGCCCUUCGGGGUACUCGAGCGGCGAACGGGUGAGUAACACGUGAGUAACCUGCCCCAGACUUUGGGAUAACCCUCGGAAACGGGGGCUAAUACCGGAUACGACACAGCUUCGCAUGGGGUCUGUGUGGAAAGUUUUUCGGUUUGGGAUGGGCGCGCGGUCUAUCAGUUUGCGGGUGGGGUGAUGGCCUACCAAGUCGACGACGGGUAGCCGGCCUGUGAGGGGCAGCGGCGACAAUGGGACUGCGGCACGGAGCAGACUCGUACGGGAGGCAGCAGUGGGAAACAUUGCACAAUGGGCGGAAGUCUGAUGCAGCGACGCCGGGUGAGGGAUGACGGCCUUCGGGUUGUAAACCACUGUCAGAGGAGACGAAGCGUAAGUGACGGUACCUGCAGAAGAAGCGCCGGCUAACUACGUG